rnacentral:rRNA from 1 species
GAUGAACGCUAGCUACAGGCUUAACACAUGCAAGUCGAGGGGCAGCAUGACCUAGCAAUAGGUUGAUGGCGACCGGCGCACGGGUGAGUAACACGUAUCCAACCUACCGGUUAUUCCGGGAUAGCCUUUCGAAAGAAAGAUUAAUACCGGAUAGUAUAACGAGAAGGCAUCUUCUUGUUAUUAAAGAAUUUCGAUAACCGAUGGGGAUGCGUUCCAUUAGUUUGUUGGCGGGGUAACGGCCCACCAAGACAUCGAUGGAUAGGGGUUCUGAGAGGAAGGUCCCCCACAUUGGAACUGAGACACGGUCCAAACUCCUACGGGAGGCAGCAGUGAGGAAUAUUGGUCAAUGGACGAGAGUCUGAACCAGCCAAGUAGCGUGAAGGAUGACUGCCCUAUGGGUUGUAAACUUCUUUUAUAUGGGAAUAAAGUGAGCCACGUGUGGCUUUUUGUAUGUACCAUACGAAUAAGGAUCGGC